rnacentral:rRNA from 1 species
GCGGAGGAAAAGAAACCAACAGGGAUUGCCCUAGUAACGGCGAGUGAAGCGGCAACAGCUCAAAUUUGAAAUCUGGCUUCGGCCCGAGUUGUAAUUUGCAGAGGAAGCUUUAGGCGCGGCACCUCCUGAGUCCCCUGGAACGGGGCGCCACAGAGGGUGAGAGCCCCGUAUAGUUGGAUGCCUAGCCUGUGUAAAGCUCCUUCGACGAGUCGAGUAGUUUGGGAAUGCUGCUCAAAAUGGGAGGUAAAUUUCUUCUAAAGCUAAAUACCGGCCAGAGACCGAUAGCGCACAAGUAGAGUGAUCGAAAGAUGAAAAGCACUUUGAAAAGAGGGUUAAAUAGCACGUGAAAUUGUUGAAAGGGAAGCGCUUGUGACCAGACUUGCGCCGGGCUGAUCAUCCGGUGUUCUCACCGGUGCACUCUGCCCGGCUCAGGCCAGCAUCGGUUCUCGCGGGGGGAUAAAGGCCCUGGGAACGUAGCUCCUCCGGGAGUGUUAUAGCCCGGGGCGCAAUGCCCUCGCGGGGACCGAGGUUCGCGCUCUGCAAGGAUGCUGGCGUAAUGGUCAUCAGCGACCCGUCUUGAAACACGGACCAAGGAGUCAAGGUUUUGCGCGAGUGUUUGGGUGUAAAACCCGCACGCGUAAUGAAAGUGAACGUAGGUGAGAGCUUCGGCGCAUCAUCGACCGAUCCUGAUGUUCUCGGAUGGAUUUGAGUAGGAGCGUUAAGCCUUGGACCCGAAAGAUGGUGAACUAUGCUUGGAUAGGGUGAAGCCAGAGGAAACUCUGGUGGAGGCUCGCAGCGGUUCUGACGUGCAAAUCGAUCGUCAAAUCUGAGCAUGGGGGCGAAAGACUAAUCGAACCAUCUAGUAGCUGGUACCGCG